UUCACUUCCAGACCGUAGUUUUGUCACUUAGUCUGGGUCUCCUCUUAGAUCUUAGGACUUGGAUCCUCAGAAUUUCAACCCUACACCAUCUCCCUAAGUCUGCUGCAGGACACAGCCAUUGGAAGCAUUUAAGAAGUGUUUGAAAACUCUUUAUUCCAUCAAGACUACUGACUGGAGGAAGUGACUAAGAGCAGUUGUUGAGAAUAGGGUCGGCCUGCUUUGCUGUAAAUCAUAUUAUUACAGUAUAGGAGCUCCAUCAGGUGAGAACUUCAGGAUAAACGUGGAGACAGCAGAAAAUGACCAACAAAUUCAAUAGCAUCCAGUGACCUCUUCUAAUAAAGGGAUGGUGAAAUUG